GAUGAACGCUAGCUACAGGCUUAACACAUGCAAGUCGAGGGGUAACGAGAGGAAAGCUUGCUUUCCUUGUCGACGACCGGCGCACGGGUGAGUAACGCGUAUCCAACCUGCCCCCAACUAAGGAAUAACCUUGCGAAAGUAAGACUAAUACCUUAUAAUUUCCUCAGAUGACAUCUGACGAGGAAUAAAGAUUUAUCGGUUGUGGAUGGGGAUGCGUCCGAUUAGCUUGUUGGCGGGGUAACGGCCCACCAAGGCAACGAUCAGUAGGGGUUCUGAGAGGAAGGUCCCCCACAUUGGAACUGAGACACGGUCCAAACUCCUACGGGAGGCAGCAGUGAGGAAUAUUGGUCAAUGGGCGAAAGCCUGAACCAGCCAAGUAGCGUGCAGGAUGGCGGCCCUAUGGGUUGUAAACUGCUUUUAUACAGGAAUAAAGUUAGCCACGUGUGGUUAUUUGUAGGUACUGUAUGAAUAAGGACCGGCUAAUUCCGUGCCAGCCGCCGCUGUAA
rnacentral:rRNA from 1 species